GUGCUCAAUUUGACAGCAUGUAUACUAAAAUUGGAAUGAUACAAAAAAGAUUAGCAUGACUUCUGCAUGAGGAUGACAUGCAAAUUCAGAAAUCAUCCCAUAUUCAG